rnacentral:rRNA from 1 species
AAACUGGAGGGUUUGAUCCUGGCUCAGAACGAACGCUGGCGGCGUGCUUAACACAUGCAAGUCGUACGAGAAACCGGAACUUCGGUUCCGGGAGUAAAGUGGCGCACGGGUGAGUAACGCGUAGGUAAUCUACCCUUGGGUUUGGAAUAACCCGCCGAAAGGCGUGCUAAUACCGGAUAAAAUCUUUCAGAGGGAUCUGAAAGAUCAAAGGUGGCCUCUCCAUGGAUGCUACUGCCUGAGGAUGAGCCUGCGUCCCAUUAGCUUGUUGGUAGGGUAAUGGCCUACCAAGGCCACGAUGGGUAACUGGUCUGAGAGGAUGAUCAGUCACACUGGAACUGGAACACGGUCCAGACUCCUACGGGAGGCAGCAGUGAGGAAUAUUGCGCAAUGGGGGAAACCCUGACGCAGCGACGCCGCGUGGGCGAAGAAGGCCUUCGGGUCGUAAAGCCCUGUCUAGAGGGAAGAAAUUCUCAAUGGAAUAAUACACAUUGAGAUUGACGGUACCUCUGGAGGAAGCACCGGCUAACUCCGUGCCAGCAGCCGCGGUAAUACGGAGGGUGCGAGCGUUGUUCGGAAUUACUGGGCGUAAAGCGGGUGUAGGCGGUUUGUUAAGUCAGAUGUGAAAGCCCACGGCUCAACCGUGGAAGUGCAUCUGAAACUGGCAGACUUGAGUACCGGAGAGGGAAGUGGAAUUCCUGGUGUAGGGGUG